rnacentral:rRNA from 1 species
UACGUAGGGACCAAGCGUUGUUCGGAUUUACUGGGCGUAAAGGGCGCGUAGGCGGCAAUUCAAGUCAUCUGUGAAACCUCCGGGCUUAACUCGGAACGGUCAGAUGAUACUGCUUUGCUAGAGUGCGGAAGGGGCAAUCGGAAUUCUCGGUGUAGCGGUGAAAUGCGUAGAUAUCGAGAGGAACACCAGAGGUGAAGGCGGGUUGCUGGGCCGACACUGACGCUGAGGCGCGAAAGCAUGGGGAGCGAACAGG